UUGAUUUAGAAAAAAUUUUUAUACUAAUAGAAAAUCCUGUAAAAUGUAGAAGAAUGUUUUUACUAAAAUGGAAACCAAAUUGCUGAGGAUAGAAUUCACCUGAAAAGGCUUUCUUAGUUCAAGUUAUAAAUAAGCAUGUGUUCUGUGGUUAUAAAAAGUAAUACUGUAUUUUAUAUACUCUAAGAUGCCAUCAAUUGUAAGAUAAAAUGUCAUUUUAUGUAGCACUACAAAAGAUUACUGCUGCUGAUUAAACUAUAACUCAUUUGAACUGAGAGAUGUCAAAAUUUGAAAAAAAUGUGUAUCUUGAAAUUGAUGCAAUAUGAUAGUACAUUCCAGUUCAUGCAAGUAUUUGAACAAAAAAUAUAGACUGUUAGUAAUCAGUAGUUGGAUAAGUUUAUAACCAUAAAAAAAGCAAUUUCUCAUGUCUUCUCAACUGUUCAUUACAUGUGAGCAUUUUAUAAUUGCUUAAGAAGAUAAAAGCACAUUUAAAAAGAAAGCAUUUUCAUUGAAUUGUAUGUGUGUGUGUGUAAAACAGAUCGAUGAAAAUCUAAAAUUAUUUCAAUCCAUUUGAGGCCUUGUCCAUGACGAUUUCAGCCUAUACUCAACCUUAACAGGCUAAGUCACAUGGGUGUAUUUGUGAUAUAGUUUCCAAUGAAUGGCUUCUAUCACAAAGAAUGUCAAACUUUUUUUGAUAAUGUUGCACAUGCAUGUCAAACCAUCUAUAGACACUUUUGGCAAUCAAAACCAAAGAAUUCUGCUAGCUCUAAGAACAAGAAUGAUCUCUAUAAAAUGUAAACAGUCUAGAGAUGAACAUAUUCUGUUCAAAUAUCUAGCUUCAAUCAUUUUCUCAAAUAUUUGAAACACAUUAAUUCCUCAACAGUAGUUCCUGUUUAGUAUGUAUUACCUUAGCUUAAUUCUCCUAUGCAUCUUAAAACUCUUAAAAUUAGACUGGUUUAUAGUUUGAAAAUGGAGAAGGUAUAGAGACUCCUUAAGAUUCCUGUCUCCUUUUCUGCCAAGACCACUUUGAUUCUCACUUAGAGGCAGGAAUGAGAAGCUGUAGCUAUACAUCUGUAUGCAAAAUGGCAAGCAUGUCAUCUUCUAAUACAGAAAUUCAUUCUAUGGAGGGCUGACUCCAAUGAGUUGAUUAUCUAAAAAAUCAGGUUCUACUUCUGUGACAACAUGAACAAGCUCAAGUGGUGUUUUUAUCGUGUACCAAAAUUUGGUGAUGUCUUAUCCAUACAUAAAGGUAUGGAAAACUUUCGAUAUUUCAAGGAGUCAAAGGACAUGGGGUUAUUUUGUUCUGGGCAGAACAAAUUAUUUGAUCCCACACAAUUCUGGACUACUUGAGAAGGAACUCUCUUGCUCUUCUCGUGUAUUUCUCUAUACCACUUUGCAGGGUACUUAGUAUUAGCAUACAGCAAACACUUUACAGUCUUACGGAUGGUUAAUAAACAGAUAACAUUUUAAUUGUCAGUUAAUAAUUUUUUCAUUCUCAUGAAGGAAAUCAAAACAUGCACUUUUAAUUAUCUUACCAAUUUAGUGGUUCUUUUAUCCAGUUACUCUGUUGAGUGGCAAAUGCAAUGUUUUCUCACAAUGCUGAGAAAUUUUUCUAGACAUCAGAUUCACGCAAAAAUAGAAAUGUGGCCUAUUUCAGACUAUGGAUACAUGUCAAAUAUGUUUAUUCAUAUUCAUAUUUAAAUAUG